rnacentral:rRNA from 1 species
UCGAGAGGCUUCCACAAUGGGGGAAACCCUGAUGGAGCGACGCCGCGUGGGUGAUGAAGGUCUUCGGAUCGUAAAGCCCUUUCAGCAAGGAAGAAAGGACGGGCGAUAAUACCGCCAUGUCCUGGACGGUACUUGCAGAAGAAGCUCCGGCUAACUCCGUGCCAGCAGCCGCGGUAAGACGGAGGGAGCAAGCGUUGUUCGGAUUUACUGGGCGUAAAGGGCGUCUAGGCGGAUUGGUCAGUCAGGUGUGAAACCCUUCGGCUCAACCGGAGAUCUGCACUUGAUACUGCCAAUCUUGAGUAUGGAAGAGGAAAGCGGAAUUCCAGGUGUAGCGGUGAAAUGCGUAGAUAUCUGGAAGAACACCGGUGGCGAAGGCGGCUUUCUGGUCCAAUACUGACGCUAAAGCGCGAAAGUGUGGGGAGCAAACAGG